CGAAGUAGGAUAUGGCGCGUCAAGUGGUCAGCGGCUGGGGAGUUGCCCUGACACGAAGAACAGAUAUACAGUUCGCGAUGCCUGUCCGCACCCGUUG
rnacentral:ncRNA from 1 species